UGCUGCAGGGCUAAUUGUAGCAGUGAGAAGGGCUUCUCCAGGGUGGAAGGUAGCUUUCCUCCCUAUAAGGGAAGCUAUUUAACUGCCUGCCCCCUUAGGGGAAGGACCAGCAUCUGGGGCUGAUAACAAGGCCACCUCCCAUCCCCAGAGAAAGGGGGGUAGAAAAAGGGGCAGCAAAAGUUGUCUGAGAACCAGGGAUUGUCCAACAGCGGAAUCGUGUAAUGCUGAAAACUAUCAAUAUUGUAACCUUCCACAGCAAAGUUAUGUUAUAUGGGGGGAUUUCUCAGCUUCUUCCAAAGGAAAAAAAUGCUGCCCUUGCCUUUGAACUGGCAGGACCUUUGGCUCUGGAGAGGAAAACUAUUCUGCUGGAAGAGUAGGAGCAGCACCCCAGAAACUGCAGCAACCAACUGAGAAGGACCUGGAGGAUCUGCUCCUGGACGUGGUCAGGAGGAACCAGGAGCAGUUUGAGUUUCUCAGAGGGUGGGAGGAUUGGGAUCUUCAGCAGGAAGAGGCAUGGAGGAACUGUUUCAUGGAGUAGCAAUCAUAGGGAACAGGAGCAUUCCCUGAUGGAGAAGCUGAUAGAACUAGUGGCUGAGCGAGUGCAGGGUCUCCCUGCUGCCAUGGCCACUGCACCUCUCCAUGCACUGACAACAACUCCUCUUCUUGCUCCCACCCAGUGUGCUGUUGAGGCAGAGGCCCCUACGCCUCCUUCCCCCCAUGUGACCAAGAGGACCCUGCAGGACUUCAAGGACACCGACCUCUUAAAUUCCUCACAGGGGAACCCUCUGCCUGUCUAGAAGGGGAACGAUGAGCCUGUGGCCCCCUAAGUCCCUGCCCCCCACACUCUGUGCAGGAGACAGUUAUCUCUAGUCAUUCCCCCUUGGUGGGGGAGUGCAAGGAGAUGGGGUCAGAGAUGUUAACAUUAGGCCAUUGUUCACAGAUUCAGUCUUAUGAUGUUUUGUUGGGUUACAUCAGGAGUCAGCAACCUAUGGCACGUGUGCAACCUAUGGCAUGCAUGAACCGAUUUUGCCUGGCACGUGGCUGCCAGCCGGGGUCUCGGCUGCUGGCCCUGCUCAGCGCACUGCCAGCUGCGUAAACGGAACCCCAGGCCAGCAGAGGCUGAGCGGGGCUGGCAGCCAGGACCCCAGACCGACGGCAGGCGUGACCCCCUGGCAUCCCGCUCACUGUGCUCAGGUUCUGUGGCUCCCAGGAGUGUGAGCCACCACCGCCACUGCCCCUCCUGCAGCAGGCUCAGGGCCCCGUACCCCCAUGGCUCACACUCCCGGGAGCCGCAGACCCUGAGCGCGGUGAGGGGGGAGCCAGGGCGCACAUGGAGACUGCCACCCGCAUGCAUCCGCUGCAGAAGCCCCCCCUGGGGGGGGCACCGGGCCGCAGCCCAGGCAGGAACUCCCUCCGGCUCCCUCCCUCCCUGCGCUCGGGGGUCUGCGGCUCCUGGAAGUGUGAGCUGCCGCCGCCACUGCCCCUCCCACAGCUCCCCCCUCCGGCUGCCUCAGCACUCCACGUGGAGUGUACUAAGAAGUCUCUAAUUUCAGUGCUGCACUGUAGGAUUUUUCAGCAUUGCAUAUUCAGAGUUUCAGCAGCUACUUGCAGUUAGGCAAGAACUCCAUCUGCCUUUGGCCAAUAUUAAAUAAGAGGAAAAAAUGCACCCAAGCAAUUGUGGUGGAAAAAUAGUCAAUAGUUGGGGAUGUAACUUAGUUGUUGGGAAGACAGGUGCCUCAUCUUUCUGUAGCUGAAAGCUAAUGGUCUAAUUUCCCUCUCACUUACAUUGCCACAGAUCAAGAGUAAUUCCAUAAAGUUAAUGGAAUUACACCAGUGUAAAAUGACAGUAGUUUUCUUGAGUUGCCAAGUAGCAAUAACUCUCAACUGUUCUUUAAGAUUUGUUCUUCUGAUGGAUACACCACCAGGACUAAUGAACUGAGCGAAAAUGCAGAAUGUCUUAAAAUGAGACCUAUAGCGUCAGCUAUGGCCAACUUUCCUUUGUGUGAUUUAACCUUUUUAUUUUAGACUAAGUGCUUCACUGCCUUGCACUUCGUGCAGUCAUUAACAUUUGUGUAAAGGUUGUAAAAUGCUACUAUUCUAAGUAGAUAUAGUUUUAUAUCUCCUUUGCACAGGUGUAAAUUGUGACACUGGCAGACCAGGUGCCAGCACAUGCCAAGACCCCUAAGCCUCAACUAAAUACUGACAAAUGCAUAUCUGGAAACCAGUCUGGCUCACCUGUGGGUUAGUAUAUAGGUUUUUGAAAAUGUUUAGUGUUUAGACUGUAUGAAAUGCUUGUGUAGUUGCUGCAUGAAUUACUCUCACUUCUAAUCACUGUAGCCCAUGUUAUAAGUUAAUGUGUUUGUGUAAUGAUUGUAAAAGUGUUUGCUCUGAAACUGUAAACCCCCGCAGUCAGGAGUGCAGCAUUACCAAGUACAAAAUACUACUUUACCACAAAAUGUGUUAGGCCCUGCCCACAAGAAGGCCACUGAAACCAGAUGAGACAUUGUGGAACGUCAGAGAAGAAAAUACUUUUUUGAUGGCUUCUCCCUCCCUGCCUCCCCCCCACCCACAACCCUAUGAAGAAGAGACGGGCAAGGGGAUUUGUCCUAGCAGCUUGAAUUCUGGGGGAAGGAAAUAAAAAUCCCUGACAGGAAAAAAACAACUACAUUUUUAUGCUGCUUGAACUCUGUGGGGCAAAGAAUUCUAUGCAUAAACAAGAGAUCCUCAGCUGCUUAGCCCUAACGGACAUACAGAGCUUGCUUAUUAUAUAUCCUUCUAUUACCUUUUAGAACCUAAAACUGCAGCUCAUUUGUGUGUGCUUGUUUACCUGUUUUAACCUUGUAAAUAACUCAUUACUUUUUCUUAAUGAAUAAAUCUUUGUUACAAGUGU